GGCGGGGCGGGGGCGAGCGCGGUUCCUCCUAGAGUUGUUUGCCGCACGAGGGGCGAGACGAACCGGACCUGCAGAGCGCACUCCUAGGAGUGGAGGAAGGAGUGGGGGCUCAGUCGGGCCGGUUUGGAGGCAGGAGGCACUUGCUCUCCGAAAUUCCGUGAGAGCUGCAAUCAAUAAGGGAGCCGCAGUGGAGUAGGCGGGGAGAAGGCCGCACCCUUCUCGGCAGGGGGAGGGGAGUGCCGCAAUACCUUUCUGGGAGUUCUCUGCUGCCUCCUGGCUUCUAAAGACCGCCCCGGGCCUGGAACAGUCCCUUCCCCCUCUCCCCUCGUGAUCUGCAAGUCGAGGCUUUCUGGAAGAUGGGCGGGAGUCUUCUAGGCUGUCUUAAGGGCUAACCUGAUGGAUGUCUCCUCCAAUAUCACCUGAUGUAUCUUACAUAUCGCCAGGCUGAUUGUAUUAAAAGGUACAUGAAUUGACAUGAAAUUUACUGACUCCUUAAUGCUUUAGUGGAUUCCACGAGUACAAUACAGAAGACCGUUAAUGGGCUAGUGACAGCUUUUUCCUUUUUCAUUUCAUUAUUUCCUGCAUACACACUUUGAGUCACAUGGAAUUGAUUACUGCUUACUCAUAUUUUGUCACUGUACACAUCUGUAGAUGGUGGUUCCCUCUAGAAUUCACUGUUAUGGUUCAGGUGUUGGCUCUCCUGGCCUAAGGUCCUGUGAGCCUGUGUUUUCCUAUUUAAGCAGUGCUUUCUCUUGGUCUCUGGCUUGAUUCAUGUCACUCCUCAUGUUAUUGCUGGUUUAAAUGUUUUGCUGAGCUGCUUUGGUGCUGUCUUACUGACGACUUUUAAGUUCCUACUAUAUUUCUUGUAGCCAGUCGUAAGUAAAAUGUAGUAAGCAACAUAAAUGUAUUUGUGAAGCUUGGUCUUGAGGUUAAGUGUUGUGUGUGUGCUCAAUAAGAAUACUAUCCAGGAGAACUUACUGCAGUGACGUGGACACUGUACAUGUAUUGUCCCAAUAUGGUAGCCAAUAAUCAAAUCACUCUUUAAGCACUGGAAAUGUGAACAAGGAACUAAUUUUCAUUUGAAGUGUAACUGGACAGGGGAACCAUAGCUGCAAACUUGGGGGUUAUAGAAGACUAAUGGGAACUUUAAUAAUGUUCUGUUUACACUAAGCAAUCAAGAAAUAAAAAAUUGAACCUCUGGUAGCCAUUUGCUUCAAGUGCUUUGUUGUUUUUUUUUUUUUUCUGCUUCAUCUAUACUAAGCUGAAAGCUAAACCUACAAACCAUUACUAAACAUGAAAGCAAGUACCGAUUAAUUUGGAUUUCAAAACCUUAGGGCUAGAGUUUAACUGAGCACUGGUGUGCUCACCUUUGGUCCCAGCACUCAGAAAACAGAGCCAGGUAGGUCUCUAAGUUCGAGGACAGCCAGGGCUGUCGAAAAACAAAAUUUAGGAAGCUGAGAUUUCAUUAAAUCAUAAUUGAGGCAUUCCCUAGGAGCCACCAUGGGAUUUGGCUGCUAGUCAAUUUAAUUGCUUUUUCUUUUUCUUUUCUUUUUUUUUCCCCCCUUCACUUUGGGCUUCCUUACUCUUUGAACCGUCCUUCCCACCAUGUGGUUUCUUGUCUGCCACAUGUCUGAGUUCCCAUGCUGGUUUAAAUGGCGUGGCUUUUUGCCUCAGGGCAGCUGCUGAGAUUUGCAGCCUGGUUUUUGGGGUGGGCUUGGAAAUUCUUUUAAACUCUAAAUUUGUCCUUUCUUUAAAAAAAAUGAAAAUAAAAGUUUCAUGAGGAGUGAGAUGGGACUGAUAUUUAAUGAGCCCCUGCCCCCUAAAAAAACUAAGGCUUUGUUUUCUACUUCCAUGUCUUAAAGUUUGGUAUGUCUAGGACAGGGACAUCUUAGGGCUUUAGUAUGCAGAGACUGUUGCCUUGCUGUUGGAUUUUCUAGUCUCCCACCCAGAGAAUUUUAAAUUCUGGGCAGCCAAGGCCAGAUUAAAAUUCUGUCCUUUCAUGUUCACUUGCUUACUGUAAAUAUAAAAAUGAUAACCUCAAAGACUUUUUCCUGAGACAGGGUCUCACGCAGUAUGUGUCUCUGGCUGGCCUGUAACUCAAUAUGUAUAGACCAGACUAGCCUUAAGUUACAGUUCUGCCUGCUUCUGCUUCCUGAGUGGUGGGGUUAAAAGUGACCAGUGUGUCCCUAUCCUGAGCUGUUUUGUUUUGUUUUUUUUUCUCCCCUCUUAAAAAAAGAACCAGACAGUAACAAACCCCGAGUGAAAGGGAAAAACAAAAUGCAGGUCAGAUCCUUUUAAAGGAACUAUAUUAAGGGGGCUUGGGUGAUAAUUAGUAAAGUGUUGCAAGCAAUGAAAACUUGAAUUAAAUCUCCACAACCCACAUAAGAAAGCCAGGCAAGUUAGAGCACGUCUGAGGUAUCCCUAGGACUUACUGGCCACAUAAGCCUAGGUACUUGGCAGUCUCCACGCCAGUGAGAACAUCUCAAAAAACAAGGCAGAUAGCAAAUAAGAAACUACAGGUGGUCUGGAGAGGUGGUUAAGAGCACUGGCUACUCUUCCAGAGGACACAGACUCAAUUCAAUUCCCAGCAUCCACAUGGCAGCUUACUAUCUAUAACUCCAGUUCCAGGGGAUCUGACACCCUCACACAGAAUAUAUACAGGAAAAACACCAGUGUACAUUAAAUAAACUAUAGUCAAAGUUGUCUUUCACACCCACCUACAUACAAGGAUAUGAAAAUAUUCCAAAUAAUAUUUCCUUCAACUUUGAUCUACUACUACGUUUCUCCCAUCAAAUUGCAUUCCUCAAGGACACGGAUUUCUUCAGUGAGUAAGCAGAGUUGAGAACCAAACAAAUGUUGGUUUUAUGAUUUGUCAAGUCAGAGUUUUCAAUUGCUAAUUAAAGCCCAUGAAAUACAGGACAAAGCUCCUAUUGUGCAGGAAUCUAAUACUUAACUGAAGUGUCUUAAUGCUCUUUUCAUGGAGGAAACUGAGGCCUCCCUGUCUUGUACUCAGAAGCACUUCCUUGGGUUUCCCCUGAACCAUUGCAGCUAUCCAAUUCUUGUACUAGGCAUGCCUUGGUUGGUGGUUUAAAUAACCUUAAUUUCCUGUGUCAUGAUUUCAUAUACUUACCACAAAAACUUACAUGUUAAACAUUUGUGCUUGAUGUGAAAGUUAGAUGAGGGUGUGUGAUUUUUACUUUAAAAAUUUUGAAUUAGAUAAGGCCUUAUGUUUGGUGUAAAAUGUGACAGUUGGGCAUCCCAAGAACGAGACUAGUUUGGGGUGAACCCUAGCUAUACAGCAUUUUGCUGGGUCACAACUUUGGGAGUCAAGCAUUUAACCUUGAAGGUGGUUGAGACUUUAGUUUAUGUAUUGGAGGGUAUACUUAUCCAGAAGAUAUUCGUGACUCCAUUCUUGACUGGUUUAGUUAGCACUGAGUGUCUUUUAGGCUUGAACUGGAGUUGUGUUAUGUCCAGGCCCGUUUUUCCGACUUAGUAAUCACUGGUCUUUUUUGUCCUGGUAUUUUUUUCACCCUUGUUUUCUAGGUAUUUGAAGAAAUAUUUUAAGUUUGGAUUUUCCUUUUGGCAACGUUAACAUGUUUUCAGGUCAUAUUUAUAAAAUUGAGUAUUUUGUUACUUAACCCAAUCCUACUUCUUCUAUUGGGUGGAUUUUGAAUUCACUCAGUAGACUUGAUCUUUUUUGGCCCUUCACUAAAAUCCCAUAUGAAGUACUAUUCACCAUAACAGAGGCUUUGGUACCAGUGUGUGUACAGUAGAGACAACUAAAACUCAGAUUUACUAACUUCCCAUGGGCAUACAAGUAGAUUGGGGCUAGGGAUAGAAACUGGCCUAGCUUUUGAUAUUCCUACCAGCUUUGUACUACCUUGUUCUGAUUCAAAUAUUGUUUUAGGAAAUUAGAGAUAAAUAUAAGGUAGUGAUAGAGUAAUGACCAAAAUGCUAGGUUUCUCUCUCAGAGAAGAAUUCAAAAAUUUGACCAAGUCUUAAGUCACUGAGAGUGCUUCAGAACAUCUCAAGGAACCUUUCCUUAAAGCCCUCACCCCUACACCACAUCUGGUCAAUUGAAUGUUGUCAUGGCUCUUAAAAUCUAAUUAAGGAUAGUAAUUGUGUCAUUAUUGUUUUUCCUCCUUUAGAUUGUUCCUUAAGGAGAGGACAGUGCUUGUUUAAGGCUGUAUCCCUGCUGUCUGAGCAGAACCAGGUCUUCGAGAUCAACACACUUUUCGUAAUACCAAGCUGUUGCCUUUUACAUUCUCAGAAGCAAACAGACACAUGAUUCUCACUGACAAUACUGUCACUCUGUUAAAUGCUACUAUGUAGUUUGGAUUUUUCUAAGGUAGUUUAGGUGUGGAGUAUGUUUUUUUUUUUAUUAACUUUCUAGGUUAUACCUUCUAUAAUCUAUACAGUUGUUAUUUUUAAAUCUUGUAGCUUUGUAUAUAAGGACAAAGGUGUUUUAUUGUCAUGUUUUGAGCAUUUCCCCAAAGUUCCAAAUUAUAAAACUGCAACUUUAGAACUUAAUUAGAAAGAGGGUUGUGGUUUUAUAAGAAGACACUUAAUUGUUCCACUAAUCUUAUUUGUGUUUUAAGAUAUUAUAUAAACUGACAAAUAUGGAAGAGUCGGUCAAGAAACUUAGGGAGUGAAAUGUAUCCUGGCGUUAGAGAUCAUUUAACUUGGCAUGUCCUUUGCAACACCCUAACUUGGAAUAGUGCUGGCACCAGCUAUGUUGUGGACUCAUUCCAAUGAGUGUUGGAUUGUUUUGAACGCUACUGAAUAAUUUAAAUUCAGACUUCUGGUGAUCCAUAAAACAAAACUGUCAUAAGUUUCAAACCAGAAAUUAAAAAAACUGAAUAUUUCAGAAGAAGAAAAUUAUUUGCUGUAUUAGCUGGAGAAAUGUAUAAUGGCUAAGAAUUUAGAAACUAUACAGUUGACAUUGCUGAGUAUCUGCCAGAUGAAAAGAAAUGCCCAUAGUGGUUCUUCUGAACAGUAUAGUUAACUUGUUAAAGAUUUUUUCCCCACAGAUACACACUCUAAUAAGAUAUACGUAACACUUUUCAAAUGGAUGCAGCUACAAACAUGGUUGGACUUGUUACUGUGCUUCUAUUUAUUUAAUGUGAAAGCUUGGCAAUAAACCUAUGUCCUAAAAUA